rfam:Physcomitrella patens subsp. patens PHYPAscaffold_134 genomic scaffold, whole genome shotgun sequence.
UAAGAGGCUUUUAUAAAAGCCACGUUUAAUUAUCUUGAAUUAUUAU